rnacentral:rRNA from 1 species
GACGAACGCUGGCGGCGUGCCUAAUACAUGCAAGUCGAACGCAGUGGGGCCGGGUGAGUAACACGUGGGUAACCUCCCAUCAGAGGGGCUAAAACUUGGAAACAGGUGCUAAACCGAUACUGAUGGAUGGACCCGGGGUGCAUUAGCUAGUGGGUGGGGUAACGGCUCACCAAGGCCACGAUGCAUAGCCGACCGGAGAGGGUGAUCGGCCACACUGGGACGGAGACACAGCCCAGACGCCUACGGGAGGCAGCAGUGGGGAAUCGUCGGCAAGGGGCGAAAGUCUGACCGAGCAAUGCCGCGUGAGUGAAGAAGGUUGUCGGGUCGUAAAGCUCUGUUGUUAGAGAAGCGGUAUCUAACCAGAAAGCCACGGCUAACUACGUGCCAGCCGCCGCGGUAAUUC